rnacentral:lncRNA from 1 species
AUCAUUUAAAGAGGUUGAGAAAAUAUUUUUGUAUUUUUUGAAUAUCAAAAAAUAUUUAAAUUGAAUUAAAAAUAACCAGAAAAGAGAAAAAUAUUAAAAAAUACAAAUGAUAAAAUAAAAAAAUAAAAAAAUCAUUUUUAGAAAGUAGAAAAUAAAAGAGAAAUAUUGCAAUUGGUCCCAUAAAUUUUGGACCAAUAAUGAAAGAGAUAUGAAUUUUAGUAAAUGAAAUGGAAUUAAAA